rnacentral:rRNA from 1 species
CCUACGGGAGGCAGCAGUGAGGAAUAUUGGUCAAUGGCCGUAAGGCUGAACCAGCCAAGUCGCGUGAAGGAAGAAGGAUCUAUGGUUUGUAAACUUCUUUUAUAGGGGAAUAAAGGUAUCCACGUGUGGAUAUUUGCAUGUACCCUAUGAAUAAGCAUCGGCUAACUCCGUGCCAGCAGCCGCGGUAAUACGGAGGAUGCGAGCGUUAUCCGGAUUUAUUGGGUUUAAAGGGUGCGUAGGUUGUUUUUUAAGUCAGCGGUGAAAGUUUGUGGCUCAACCAUAAAAUUGCCGUUGAAACUGGAAGACGUGAGUGUGUUUGAGGUAGGCGGAAUGCGUGGUGUAGCGGUGAAAUGCAUAGAUAUCACGCAGAACUCCGAUUGCGAAGGCAGCUUACUAGGCCAUAACUGACACUGAAGCACGAAAGCGUGGGGAUCAAACAGGAUUAGAUACCCGGGUAGUC